CAGAUGCCAAGAGGAAGCCUCUGUUGGAAGUCACUGCAGCCAAGUGGAUUCUAUCUGGCUGGUCUCAAGCUCCUGAGCUCAAGCAGUCCUCCCAACUCAGCAAGGGAUUCCAAGAGUGACCCACUCAUUCUCUUAUGUGGACAUCACAAUUUACCUGUUCUCCCAGCAGUGGAUAUUUGUGUUGUUUCCAGUCACUUGCUGUUAUCUCAGUGCUUAUAAAUGAUUGUUUCUCUUACACCCAGGAAUUCCAUUCCUGGGUUAUGGGUUAUGCUUAUUAUGCUCACCUGCACAGUUGAAUUUCAAAUUGUUUUCCAAAGUGAUUAGACCUCCUUCUCCUUCAUCAGCAAUGUAUCCCAUUGGUUCUUUGUAUGUCAAACUUAGCAGUCUAAGGAAUAAUUAAUGUUUGCAUCACUGAACUGAUUGGGAAUACUUGUUUCUGUGAGUUACUUACUUUUCAAGGUCUCCAGAGGAGACUUUCAGGCCUUAGUAAGGUCAUUACAGCACAUUAAUUUUGUCUUCUGGGUUUCUUUACUUGGUUUUACUUUAGUUUGCUCACAGAUGCCCCUUCCAACCAAGCACCAGGUGCUUAAGGUUUUCUUCCAUAAUUAGUUCCAUCAACAGUUUUUGUUUUUUAUUUCCUGAAUACACGUGCGUUAAUGGCUACAUGUACUUUCCUACUUAUACAGGGGCAAUAACCACCUUAUCAACAGUAAUAAUAUUGACUAACAUUUAUAAAAAUCAAAUGAUAUCAGUCACUCACUUAUCCUUCUCUCCAGUUUCAGCCAGGAAACAAGUGAAAUCGAGAUAUGAUAUCGCAUUUCUGCUUGUAAAAUUGCGUUGGAGAAAUGGAAAAACUUGGCCCCAUCCUUAUUCAAUCUGUCUCCAGUUACUCCUGGAGAAACUUAAGAAGGCUACCCUGCCUGUAUCAGGGGUCAGGCCCUGACUUGAGAAGCUUGAAGCUUGGUAGCAAGAAGCUAAGGAGGAAAGGAUAUUCAGCUUCAAGGGAUGCAGGUAGGAAGCAGGAGACAGAGACAGACAGACAAGAGUUGGAGACUUAGGAUCCCUACAUUUCAGUGUAGCAACCCCAUCUCUGGAAGCCAUGGCCCAUUGCAAGCCAGACUCACAACAAUCACAUAGCUCUUCCCUCUUCCUAUGGAGGAAAUGGACCACUCUAUUAAACACUCUGUAUACAUUAUCCUAUUUAAUUUGUAAAACAUUCUUAUGCAUGGAUAUUAAUAUUUCAUUACAAUGUUAUAGAUGAAGACACUAAAAGAUUACAGACAUACUGAUAAUUUCAUAGCUAAAAGUGAUAGAGCUGAAAUUUGAACUCAAGUCUAUUGACAACAGAACCCAAAAGUUUAGCCUCUUCCCUAUACUGCGUCUUCUUAACAGGAACCUUCUGGAAACCCUGCCUUCAUUCAGCAAACUAACUAUGCUAAGGUAAAGACCUGGCACCAAGGCAAGUCAUAAGGAGAUGCCUCAGGACUUCUUGGUUCCCCUAAAAAUAUAUAUUGUGCAAUCGUCUUUGACUUCAGAAUUCCAAAUUCAGCAUUGAAAAACUAGCUUAGUAAUGUUUCCACUUAGACAUUUUAGUACUUAAUUAAAUGAAUACCCAUGUGAGGCUUAUUAUGUGCCUGGAACUCUUUGGAUUGCCAUCUGAGCCCCCACCUACAUGCACAUGUACACACAUGAACACAUAUACACAUAUGCCCAUACACACAC
ensembl:lncRNA novel transcript